CCUACGGGAGGCUGCAGUGGGGAAUAUUGCACAAUGGGCGCAAGCCUGAUGCAGCAACGCCGCGUGAGGGACGACGGCCUUCGGGUUGUAAACCUCUUUUAGCAGGGAAGAAGCGAAAGUGACGGUACCUGCAGAAAAAGCACCGGCUAACUACGUGCCAGCAGCCGCGGUAAUACGUAGGGUGCAAGCGUUAUCCGGAAUUAUUGGGCGUAAAGAGCUCGUAGGCGGUUUGUCGCGUCUGCUGUGAAACCCCGAGGCUCAACCUCGGGCCUGCAGUGGGUACGGGCAGACUAGAGUGCGGUAGGGGAGAUUGGAAUUCCUGGUGUAGCGGUGGAAUGCGCAGAUAUCAGGAGGAACACCGAUGGCGAAGGCAGAUCUCUGGGCCGUAACUGACGCUGAGGAGCGAAAGCGUGGGGAGCAAACAGGCUUAGAUACCCCAGUAGUC
rnacentral:rRNA from 1 species